GUAAUGAUACUCCUGCCCAGCCACAGACGCAAGCAAUGGGGGCAGCUCGGAGAGAUCCUCGGAGGGGUGAGAUUCCCGUGA
rnacentral:ncRNA from 1 species